rfam:Felis catus isolate Cinnamon breed Abyssinian chromosome C2, whole genome shotgun sequence.
GCCUGGGUGGCUCAGUCGGUUAAGCGUCCGACUUCGACUCAGGGCACGAUCUCGCGGUCCGUGGGUUCGAGCCCCGCGUCGGGCU